rnacentral:rRNA from 1 species
UACGUAGGGCGCAAGCGUUUAUCCGGAAUUAUUGGGCGUAAAGAGCUCGUAGGCGGUCUGUCGCGUCUGCUGUGAAAACUCAGGGCUUAACCCUGAGCUUGCAGUGGGUACGGGCAGACUAGAGUGCGGUAGGGGAGACUGGAAUUCCUGGUGUAGCGGUGAAAUGCGCAGAUAUCAGGAGGAACACCGGUGGCGAAGGCGGGUCUCUGGGCCGUAACUGACGCUGGAGGAGCGAAAGCCAUGGGGAGCGAACAGG